rnacentral:lncRNA from 1 species
UCAGUUAGAUCAUUCCUCUUCUCUGAAUAUCUAUUGCAAAUGUCCUGUAACUUCCUUGUGUCACCCACUCCUCCACCAUGGCUUCCUCUCCUUCAUUUUCAGCAGAAGAUUGUGUUUCCCCACCACCCCCACACCAAACCCAGGGAAAAGAUAAGCUAACAGGCAGAUCUUCCUGUCACCAAACACACAGAUCUACCUUCAACUUCAUCCUCCCAAUCCAAUGAAGACUUCAUCUAAUGUCUCUUCGGUAUGAGUGCACACUUCCUCCCUGGAGCCUUCAUAUAGAACUACUUAACAAUAUACAUACUGAUCCAUUGUGGAAUUAUUAAGGAAAAUACAUUGAAAUAGGUGGCAUUCUUGUCAAAGAUAUAUAUGGACGGCUAGAUGGAUAGAUAGGUGAAAAUCAUGUUCCAUGGAAGAAGAGUUAGCUCAGCCUGCAACUCAAACAAGUACAGAUAUUCUUCCAUGGAAUGACCAUCAUACUUGGAUUGUAAUAAAAAUGCUUUAGGCAAACUUCUCAUUUCAUCCUUGGCAUAUUAAAAAUAUGUAUGUAUGUUUAAGGCUUGAAACUUAACACUGUAUUUUAAUGUUUCAGUAAGGUAAUUCUUCUUAAAUAAAAUUGGCAUUUUUAAAAAAGCCCUCUCUCACCACUCCUAUUCAACAUAGUGUUGGAAGUUCUGGCCAGGGCAAUUAGG